rnacentral:rRNA from 1 species
GACGAACGCUGGCGGCGUGCUUAACACAUGCAAGUCGAACGGAAAGGCCCUGCUUUUGUGGGGUGGUUGAGUGGCGAACGGGUGAGUAACACGUGAGUAACCUGCCCUUGACUUUGGGAUAACGUCCGGAAACUGGGGCUAAUACCGGAUAUGAGCUCCUGUUCCAAGGUGGGGGGUGGAAAGGUGCUGCGGUUGGGGGUGGACUGGCCGCUGAUUAGCUGGUUGUUGGGGUAGUGGCUUACCAAGGCUUUGCCGGGUAGUCGGCCUGAGCGGGUGACCGGCCACAUUGGGCCUGGGCUACGGCGCGGACUACUACGGGAGGCAGCAGUGGGGUGUAUUGCACCAUGAGCGGGAGCCUGAUGCAGCGACGCCGCGUCCGGGAGGUCGGCAUUCGGGUUGUAAACCGCUUACGCCUGUAACGAAGCGUGAGUGACGGUAGUGGGUAAAGAAGCACCGGCUAACUACGUG